rnacentral:rRNA from 2 species
UUAGUUGGUUCUAGGACGCCGGUGUGAUUAAUAGGUAUAGUCGGGGGCGUCAGUAUUCAGCUGUCCAAAGUGAAAUUCUUGGAUUUGCAGAUGACUUUGCCGCGCAAAAGCUUCGCCUUGGAUGUAUUCUUUAACUAAGAAACCAAAGUCACGGGAUGAAGACCAUGAUAUUCAGGGGCAGACGUCUCCUUAAACUAUGCCAUUAAGGGAACGGAUCACUCCAUAUCUAACCCGUUCAUGCACUUACAUCAAAAAGAUCUUUUUGGAUUUUGGGGGGAGUAUGUCCUUAUGGUGUCUGCACAUGGAAAUUUACCGAGNGUCACCACAAAGUAUGCAGCCUGCUCCUUAAUUUGACUCGCCAUUCGGAAACUUACCUUGUCUUNACAAAAUAAGGAUUGACUCAUUGAGAGCUCUUUCUUGAUCUUUUGCAUGGUGGGGCAUGGCCGUUCUUAUUUGGAGGAGUGAUUUGUCUGCUUAAUUGCUAUUACAAAGUAAACCUCACCCCUGAAUCUGAUCGGUCCGCAUUUGCUGACUGUUGGUUUCUGAUGAAGACUAUCAUCUCAGGCCAAUGCUUUUGCACUACUNUGACNUGUCUAUGAUGCCCUUUUCACCUCUGACCGCUGACGCGCUACACUGCCGAGGAUCCCUAUUACAUCACAUUGACCUACUAGUAUCNGUAAUCUUGUAAAACCAUGUCCUACUCGUUG